CUUCAGGGAGCCGAUCCGUACCGGCCGGUCCGCGGGACGGUCCUGGCCGUACGUCGCCAGCAGCGCCUGCGCCUC
rfam:Streptomyces tsukubensis NRRL18488 Contig071, whole genome shotgun sequence.